rnacentral:rRNA from 3 species
AAAUUGAAGAGUUUGAUCAUGGCUCAGAUUGAACGCUGGCGGCAGGCCUAACACAUGCAAGUCGAACGGUAACAGGAAGCAGCUUGCUGCUUUGCUGACGAGUGGCGGACGGGUGAGUAAUGUCUGGGAAACUGCCUGAUGGAGGGGGAUAACUACUGGAAACGGUAGCUAAUACCGCAUAACGUCGCAAGACCAAAGAGGGGGACCUUCGGGCCUCUUGCCAUCGGAUGUGCCCAGAUGGGAUUAGCUAGUAGGUGGGGUAACGGCUCACCUAGGCGACGAUCCCUAGCUGGUCUGAGAGGAUGACCAGCCACACUGGAACUGAGACACGGUCCAGACUCCUACGGGAGGCAGCAGUGGGGAAUAUUGCACAAUGGGCGCAAGCCUGAUGCAGCCAUGCCGCGUGUAUGAAGAAGGCCUUCGGGUUGUAAAGUACUUUCAGCGGGGAGGAAGGGAGUAAAGUUAAUACCUUUGCUCAUUGACGUUACCCGCAGAAGAAGCACCGGCUAACUCCGUGCCAGCAGCCGCGGUAAUACGGAGGGUGCAAGCGUUAAUCGGAAUUACUGGGCGUAAAGCGCACGCAGGCGGUUUGUUAAGUCAGAUGUGAAAUCCCCGGGCUCAACCUGGGAACUGCAUCUGAUACUGGCAAGCUUGAGUCUCGUAGAGGGGGGUAGAAUUCCAGGUGUAGCGGUGAAAUGCGUAGAGAUCUGGAGGAAUACCGGUGGCGAAGGCGGCCCCCUGGACGAAGACUGACGCUCAGGUGCGAAAGCGUGGGGAGCAAACAGGAUUAGAUACCCUGGUAGUCCACGCCGUAAACGAUGUCGACUUGGAGGUUGUGCCCUUGAGGCGUGGCUUCCGGAGCUAACGUGUUAAGUCGACCGCCUGGGGAGUACGGCCGCAAGGUUAAAACUCAAAUGAAUUGACGGGGGCCCGCACAAGCGGUGGAGCAUGUGGUUUAAUUCGAUGCAACGCGAAGAACCUUACCUGGUCUUGACAUCCACGGAAGUUUUCAGAGAUGAGAAUGUGCCUUCGGGAACCGUGAGACAGGUGCUGCAUGGCUGUCGUCAGCUCGUGUUGUGAAAUGUUGGGUUAAGUCCCGCAACGAGCGCAACCCUUAUCCUUUGUUGCCAGCGGUCCGGCCGGGAACUCAAAGGAGACUGCCAGUGAUAAACUGGAGGAAGGUGGGGAUGACGUCAAGUCAUCAUGGCCCUUACGACCAGGGCUACACACGUGCUACAAUGGCGCAUACAAAGAGAAGCGACCUCGCGAGAGCAAGCGGACCUCAUAAAGUGCGUCGUAGUCCGGAUUGGAGUCUGCAACUCGACUCCAUGAAGUCGGAAUCGCUAGUAAUCGUGGAUCAGAAUGCCACGGUGAAUACGUUCCCGGGCCUUGUACACACCGCCCGUCACACCAUGGGAGUGGGUUGCAAAAGAAGUAGGUAGCUUAACCUUCGGGAGGGCGCUUACCACUUUGUGAUUCAUGACUGGGGUGAAGUCGUAACAAGGUAACCGUAGGGGAACCUGCGGUUGGAUCACCUCCUUA